UGCAGGGUAUGAAGGAAACGGUACAGCUUGUAUAGAUAUCGACGAAUGUGCAAUAUCAGCUCAUAACUGUCAUGGAGUUGCUUACUGUUUUAACAUUCCGGGAUCCUUCAGCUGUGAGUGCCGAAAAAGCUACAUUGGUGAUGGGAUAUCAUGUGAGCCCUUUGGAGAUUUCUCAGUGACCAUUAGAAACAGUUCAAAAGACAAAUAUCAG